rnacentral:rRNA from 1 species
AACGAACGCUGGCGGCAUGCCUAACACAUGCAAGUCGAACGAGACCUCCGGGUCUUGUGGCGCACGGGUGCGUACCGCGUGGUAAGUUGCCCUUAGGUUCGGAAUCACUCCCCGAAAGGGGUGCUAAUACAGGCUAAUGUAUUCGGCCUAAAGAUUUCUCGCGUUAGGAUGGGACCGCGUUGGAUUAGCUAGUUGGUAGGGGAAAAGCCUACCAAGGUGACGAUCCAUAGCUUGUCUGAGAGGAUGAUCAGCCACACUGGGAGUAAGACACAGCCCAGACUCCUAGGGGAUGGGGGAGUGGGGAAUAUAGGACAGUGGGCUGAGGGCUGAACCAGCAAGGCCUGGUAAGUAAUGAAGGCCGGAGGGAUGUAAAUCGCUUUUACCCGGGAUGAUAAUGACGGUACCGGGAGAAUAAGCUCCGGCUAACUCCGUG